rnacentral:lncRNA from 7 species
AGUACGGAGCCAGUAUCCUUCCACGAUGUGGGAAGACAAUCUGCAGUUUUGUCUCAGACCCAAGUCUGGCUUAAAGUCUGGAAAGUAAUUUCAAAAAUGCUUGAAGAAAAUGAAAAGUUCAGACAUCGACUGUUGACUUGCAGUCAGUUCAAUGGAGAAAGCAAUGAUGCGAUCCAAGUACACAGAAGGAGGCACUCCCGCUGGACAGGGAGGAGUCCAUCUUUGGUUGGGUGUAGCAAGAAAAUAAAGGAAGAUUCAGGCCAAAAGGAAAUACAAAACUAGUGAACUGUUUUCAUCUAUAUCUCACUAAAAUUAGUGGGAAGACUACAAAUGAUUCAGAUGAACAUUGUUUCUCUGUUUGUUUGGCACAUAUGUUUCUGCUGUUCAAUAGGUUUGUUUUUAGAGUGGCUUAAAUAGCUUGUUGCAAGAUAUUUGAAGUCAUUAAGUUUAAUAUUUCAUUUAGUUAUUCGUUUUUGAAAGCCUUUUAGUGAGCAUAGUAUUGUGACAGUUUGCUUGUAAAAGAAUAAAGAUGCACAUUUAGUGUUGAUGUCUAUUUUAUUGUUUUUUUGUAGCCUGUCAGAAUCAUAGACAUAAAUUCAGUAAAGCAGAACCCCAUGCAGAAUAUAGAAACACUUCUGUUCUUAGUGAUUUGAAUAAUUUUGAUUUUGUUAUAUGGAAAUAACACACAAUCACCUUUCUGCUCAUUCAUCCAUUUAGACAUAAAUCUCGGCAAAUAUUUUGAAUUUAAAACCAGGUAAAUGUUUUCUGCCUUACUGUUCAUCAUGGGGCCCAUAAUGAUAUCAUCAUAACCAGAAGGCAUGUAUCCAGCUGACUUCAUUAACACAGUAUAGUUUUCUGUUUUGAAGUUUUACACUUGGACUCUUGGCUGUUAAAACCUUUUAAACUAGCAAAUUGUGUAAAUGGAACACAGACUGCAAAAAAAUAGCGUGUGUAUGAACUUCAUAGAUAAAACAUUCACCUGUCACAAUUAGACAUCACUGGUUUCGAUACAAGGAUGGCUUUCUCACUGCAUAAUGUCUUACUGUUUGCAGACGUAAUGACUGGAAUGUCAGAGUGUUGAGCUU